GACGAACGCUGGCGGCGUGCUUAACACAUGCAAGUCGAACGGAAAGGCCCUGCUUUUGUGGGGUGCUCGAGUGGCGAACGGGUGAGUAACACGUGAGUAACCUGCCCUUGACUUUGAGAUAACUUCAGGAAACUGGGGCUAAUACCGGAUAGGAGCUCCUGCUGCAUGGUGUGGGUUGGAAAGUUUCGGCGGUUGGGGAUGGACUCGCGGCUUAUGAGCUUGUUGGUGGGGUAGUGGCUUACCAAGGCUUUGACGGGUAGCCGGCCUGAGAGGGUGACCGGCCACAGUGGGACUGAGAUACGGCCCAGACUCCUACGGGAGGCAGGAGUGGGGAAUAUUGCACAAUGGGCGGAAGCCUGAUGCAGACACGCCGCGUGCGGGAUGACGGCCUUCGGGUUGUAAACCGCUUGCGCCUGUGACGAAGCGUGAGUGACGGUAAUGGGUAAAGAAGCACCGGCUAACUACGUG
rnacentral:rRNA from 1 species